rnacentral:lncRNA from 10 species
GUAAAAGGUUGCUGGCCCCUGGUCUCAUCCAACUGCUUGAUAGAUGAGGACAUUAAUGCUGAGUGAACUGACUUGGCCAAGGUCCUGGUUCUUAAAGACAAGGCUUCUCGACAUGUGGAACUCACUGCCACCAUACUGCCUCAUGUUCCACGUAAGAGCCAAUGAUUGAACAUGGUGGCGUUCCUGCAGGACCUGGGUCUCCUCAACCAGGAGAUGCUGCCUCAAGAACUCCCCAGAAGCCUGGCUGAAACUUUCUUGGAAUAAGGCUACAGUCUGAGACUCUUCCUACUUAAUCCUCCUUCACAGGGGUCAGACCUACAUCAUGGUCUGAUGGUUUUCCCAGCGUUGUUGGCUUCUUCCUUCUUCUCCUUCACAGGCAGUGCCCUCAAUAAAUGCUUUGCUCAUCUA